rnacentral:lncRNA from 1 species
GGGGGGAGAUCUUUUUUUUGUCAGCCUGUCUUAUAAAAGAUUUAAAUAGAACUAAGAUCCUAAAGUUAUGGAGGCAGAUGGGGCUUAGCCUAUAAAGGAUUUUCUAAUGGUGGAAAUCCAACCUUGUGAUAAGAUCCCUUGAAGAAGAUUCAAUAUGGUAAUAAUAAGCUGAUUAGUUGAUUAAAAAGCACAUGUGAGUUAUUUAAUAUAGGAGUCAUGGACUCCAUCUCAUCCCUAUAG